CAAACACGACUCAGCCCAGGGCAAGCUGUUGAGAAGCCAUGGAGAUGUUCCGCCUCAUUUCAACAAUUAGUGGAUUAUCCUUAUGCCAUUUGAUUAUCUUUGUUAUAGCCUUGUGCGCUUUACUGAAGCCUAAUUCCCGCUGAUUUCAAUGGCAAAUAAGAGCACUCCCAGAUUUGGAUUUGCCAGCUGAAAUGUGAAGGUGACAUGGAGCAGAGGGGUGAUGAACAGCCCAACAAACCAGGGGUGAAGGCAGCAUCUUUCCCUGCAUGGCCCUUCCCAUAACAGGCUUCUGGGAGGAACACAAAGGCACUUCCAGAGGAGCAUAGCUCUUGGUUUUAGGACAUCUCUGCUUUGCUGAUCAACAUGCCAGUGCCUUCUUCAGUGGAACAACACUCCUUUAUCCUGGAGAGAAUCUGUCCCAAAAGACUGAGGAGAGAACAUUUCCAUCCUGAAAGGUGCACUGGAGUUGGAUUCUUUCCACAGACUUUACAACAGAAGGGGUUCCCUGUGGCAAUUUUGAAGGAAAGGAACAAAAAUAAAGCAGAUCACCUCUCUGUUGAGGGCAGACAAUAGAAAUGACUGUGAUUCAGAGCCAUUAUUUGGGGUUUUUUUUCCAAUAUGUGUUUUCCAAGACUACCAGAGGUUCUGCUGUCAGUCCCCAAGGCUGUUUAUCCAGCCACUGCCCACCCAGCACUGAAAAUUGUUUAAUUGCACUCAAGUGAAAACUGCCAGGGGGCAUCUGGCCUCUCUUGGCUUAGCAGUGGAACGCUCUACUCUCAUCAACCUGCUCUAUUUAAUUUAUUUUUUGUUUUUUUAAAGCAGAUACUUGGCAUUUUGAGAACAUUCCAGUAUUUCUUACUUCAUGCAAAGCUUCAGACAAAAAAAGAGGCCAGGGUGCCAAUAGCCCCUGCUCUUGGGGUGAGGGGAGAAAGGGCUCUCGAGUGGCUGGGAUUGCAGGAGAUGCUCUGCUGGUUGCCUCCUCGUUUGCUUGGGCUCUCCUUAAUCUUCAGCUAUGAUUUGAAAGGCAAUCUCGAAAUUAUUUUGGUAGGAAUGAUUUGAU
rnacentral:lncRNA from 1 species